GUUUGAUCCUGGCUCAGAACGAACGCUGGCGGCAGGCUUAACACAUGCAAGUCGAGCGAGACCUUCGGGUCUAGCGGCGGACGGGUUAGUAACGCGUGGGAACGUGCCCUUUACUACGGAAUAGUCCCGGGAAACUGGGUUUAAUACCGUAUACGCCCUUCGGGGGAAAGAUUUAUCGGUAAAGGAUCGGCCCGCGUUAGAUUAGAUAGUUGGUGGGGUAAUGGCCUACCAAGUCUACGAUCUAUAGCUGGUUUGAGAGGAUGAUCAGCAACACUGGGACUGAGACACGGCCCAGACUCCUACGGGAGGCAGCAGUGGGGAAUCUUAGACAAUGGGCGCAAGCCUGAUCUAGCCAUGCCGCGUGAGUGACGAAGGCCUUAGGGUCGUAAAGCUCUUUCGCCAGGGAUGAU
rnacentral:rRNA from 1 species